rnacentral:rRNA from 1 species
ACUCCUACGGGAGGCAGCAGUGGGGAAUAUUGGACAAUGGGCGAAAGCCUGAUCCAGCCAUGCCGCGUGUGUGAAGAAGGUCUUCGGAUUGUAAAGCACUUUAAGUUGGGAGGAAGGGCAGUUACCUAAUACGUGAUUGUUUUGACGUUACCGACAGAAUAAGCACCGGCUAACUCUGUGCCAGCAGCCGCGGUAAUACAGAGGGGUGCAAGCGUUAAUCGGAAUUACUGGGCGUAAAGCGCGCGUAGGUGGUUAGUUAAGUUGGAUGUGAAAUCCCCGGGGCUCAACCUGGGGAACUGCAUUCAAAACUGACUGACUAGAGUAUGGUAGAGGGUGGUGGAAUUUCCUGUGUAGCGGUGAAAUGCGUAGAUAUAGGAAGGAACACCAGUGGCGAAGGCGACCACCUGGACUGAUACUGACACUGAGGUGCGAAAGCGUGGGGAGC